rnacentral:rRNA from 1 species
AACGAACGCUGGCGGCAUGCCUAACACAUGCAAGUCGAACGAGACCUUCGGGUCUAGUGGCGCACGGGUGCGUAACGCGUGGGAACCUGCCCUUAGGUUCGGAAUAACUCCCCGAAAGGGGUGCUAAUACCGGAUAAUGUCUUCGGACCAAAGAUUUAUCGCCUUUGGAUGGGCCCGCGUUGGAUUAGCUAGUUGGUAGGGUAAAAGCCUACCAAGGCGACGAUCCAUAGUUGGUCUGAGAGGAUGAUCAGCCACACUGGGACUGAGACACGGCCCAGACUCCUACGGGAGGUAGCAGUGGGGAAUAUUGGACAAUGGGCGAAAGCCUGAUCCAGCAAUGCCGCGUGAGUGAUGAAGGCCUUAGGGUUGUAAAGCUCUUUUACCCGGGAUGAUAAUGACAGUACCGGGAGAAUAAGCUCCGGCUAACUCCGUG